rnacentral:rRNA from 1 species
CGCUGGCGGCAUGCCUUACACAUUGGAUGAGUUUUUGGAUAGGCUCAGAACGAACGCUGGCGGCAGGCCUAACACAUGCAAGUCGAGCGCACCUUCGGGUGAGCGGCGGACGGGUGAGUAUCGCGUGGGAACGUGCCCUUCUCUACGGAAUAGUCCUGGGAAACUGGGGGUAAUACCGUAUACGCCCUUUGGGGGAAAGAUUUAUCGGAGAAGGAUCGGCCCGCGUUGGAUUAGGUAGUUGGUGGGGUAAUGGCUCACCAAGCCGACGAUCCAUAGCUGGUUUGAGAGGAUGAUCAGCCACACUGGGACUGAGACACGGCCCAGACUCCUACGGGAGGCAGCAGUGGGGAAUCUUAGACAAUGGGGGCAACCCUGAUCUAGCCAUGCCGCGUGAGUGAUGAUAGGCCUUAGGGUUGUAAAGCUCUUUCAGCUGUGAAGAUAAUUA